rnacentral:rRNA from 1 species
CCUACGGGUGGCAGCAGUGGGGGAUAUUGGACAAUGGGGGGAACCCUGAUCCAGCGACGCCGCGUGAGUGAAGCAGUAUCUCGGUAUGUACAGCUCUAUCAGCAGGGAAGAAGAAAUGACGGUACCUGAGUAAGAAGCCCCGGCUAACUACGUGCCGGCAGACGCGGUAAUACGUAGGGGGCAAGCGUUAUCCGGAAAUACUGGGUGUAAAGGGAGCGUAGACGGUGCUGUAAGUCUGGAGUGAAAGGGGGGGGCCUAACCCCCGGACGGCCCUGGAUACUAUGUGACUGGAGUGCAGUAGAGGUGAGCGGAAUUCCUAGUGUAGCGGUGAAAUGCGUAGAUAUUAGGAGGAACACCAGUGGCGAAGGCGGCUCACUGGACUGUAACUGACGUUGAGGCUCGAAAGCGUGGGGAGCAAACAGGAUGAGAUACCCUGGUAGUC